rnacentral:lncRNA from 1 species
ACACACACACACACAUCUUAUUUGAGUUUGCCUGCCAUACUUUGGUUAAUUUUUGGUAAUUUCAUGUUUAAUAUAGGAUAGCCACAGAAUAUCUUCCAGGCCUGUCAAUGUAGGGCCUAUGUGUCAUUUCCUCCAAAAAUUUUUGACCUUUUCUUAUCCUACUAAGCUCCCUGUAGAUUUUUCUUAAUUGUUGCCUGAAACUCUGGAAAUACUAAUACCUUUCUGUCUGUCUAUAGCAUAUUGAAUCCUUGUUAAUGUUGUUAUGUGUAAAUGAGGUCAAAAUUAUCACCUACACAACUCAGAUAGGUCACAUUUGCCGUUUUAAUCUGUUCUACUUUCAACCCUGUUGAUUUUGCACUCAAACAGACAUUACUGUGGACAUUCAAUGUCAUUAACUUACAAUUUUAUCCAUAUGGAAAUCAUGCCAUCAAAACUAUUUGUAUUCUAUUUAUCUGCCUUUAUUAGUUUAAUCUCUUUAAGUCACCAUAAUCCUCUAGUGGAAGUUUGACCCAACAGGUCAUGAUUUUUCCCCUCACUUUGUAGCCAUGUCUGGCCUGGAACUUGCACAGUUCUUUCUGCCUCUACCUCCCAAGAUCUGGAAUUCAAAGUCUGGGCCACCACUCUAAGCUUUCAACUUUUAAUCUUUUCUCUUAAUCAAUAGAAAUGCCAUAUAUUAAUAUAGCUCUCACCCUUCAUUCUGAGCAUGCAUUAUGUUUAAAAGACUAGAGUCCACACUCAGUCACUCUAGCAAACUGUUUCUUUUGUCUUCGGUUUUAGGUAUUAGAAAAAUAGUGGAGACAAUUAUCUUCCAACCUUUACCCUUUCCGUUUUAAUAUCUGUAUACCCAUCAUCUGGACAGGCAGUAGAAAUCGUACCACUGCUGCAUGUUUCAUAUACACUGUAUUGUUUCUCCAGUUAGAUUCUCAGGCUUCCAUAAAGAUUAUUUUAUGCAUUUCCCUAUUACUUAAAAAUCAGCUCAUUGCAAGUAUGUGCUUUUAUUAUCCAGCAAACAAAUAUUUGCUAGAUAGGUUAAUUAGUAAGUAGAUGAAAAAAAUAAUUCAUUUUUUCUCUUUUCAUGUUAUUAUUAAUUUUUAAAUUAAUUAUUUUAUUUAUUUACAUCCCAAAUGUUGCCCUCCUUCCAGUACCCCCUCCCAGAGUUCAAUUUCUUUAAAAAGGGGGAAGGCAGAAAAGGGGGAAGAGGAAGAAGAAAAAGAAAGAGAAAGAAAGGAGAGAAAAAAGUGGAGGAAGAGG